GCGUGAAAAUGGGCAACUGGUGUUGUUGUCGAGCGAGAACUGAUUUGAGAGAGACGCGUGAAAGUGUGCAACUGGUGUGGUUGUCGAGCGAGGACUGAUUUGUGAAAGGCGCGUUUUACUGUAAGUUGUCGUACCCGUUCUUUGUCGUUUUGGCCAUUUUAGUGUUU